UCUUAGCUCCAUUUGAGGUUGUGGAAAGCAAAAUUGUGCUGCAAAAUGGCAGAGAGGUGCACUAGGUACUUUAUCCAAUGGGGCCAAGGCUCCGGUGCAACAUCUACAUAGGAGAAUACAUUAGAGUUUAUGAAAGAUUAUCCUUGUUUCAACUUUGAAGACAAGGUUGACGUUAAAGAAGGUAAUAAUGUUAUGAAUAGAGGGGUAAAUAAGGAAAGAAAUAUUGUAACAAACUACAAAAUAAAUGAAGUAUACACCACUAAUGAUAGUUGGUAAGGCGACAAGGAUAAGUGUCAGACAAUCCGCAAAUUCAGAAUCUCAAAAAGGGGCAACAGAAGAAGAGCUACAAAUAGGAAGUUGCAGGAUUUUUAGUGGCAGCUGAAUGUGGUCCUUGACGUAGAAUGUCCUCUACAUCCACGUACCUGUAUUCCUUUCGUAUUUCCUAAAGUUAUCUAUAUUUCGUUUAUUUUUCCAUGUAAUUACUCAUACCAGACUUCAGCGUUACAUUGAUUAUUGAAUUUCUAUUACUGUUUCUUUGAUUA